rnacentral:rRNA from 1 species
UCCUAAGGUAGCGAAAUUCCUUGUCGGUUAAAUACCGACCUGCAUGAAUGGCGUAACGAGAUGGGAGCUGUCUCAAAGAGGGAUCCAGUGAAAUUGUAGUGGAGGUGAAAAUUCCUCCUACCCGCGGCAAGACGGAGAGACCCCGUGGACCUUUACUACAGCUUGACACUGCUACUUGGAUAAGAAUGUGCAGGAUAGGUGGGAGGCUUUGAGUAUAUGACGCCAGUUGUAUAUGAGCCAUUGUUGAGAUACCACUCUUUCUUAUUUGGGUAGCUAACCAGCUUGAGUUAUCCUCAAGUGGGACAAUGUCUGGUGGGUAGUUUGACUGGGGCGGUCGCCUCCCAAAUAAUAACGGAGGCUUACAAAGGU